rnacentral:rRNA from 1 species
UACGUAGGGCGCAAGCGUUAUCCGGAAUUAUUGGGCGUAAAGAGCUCGUAGGCGGUUUGUCGCGUCUGCCGUGAAAGUCCGGGGCUCAACUCCGGAUCUGCGGUGGGUACGGGCAGACUAGAGUGAUGUAGGGGAGACUGGAAUUCCUGGUGUAGCGGUGAAAUGCGCAGAUAUCAGGAGGAACACCGAUGGCGAAGGCAGGUCUCUGGGCAUUAACUGACGCUGAGGAGCGAAAUCAUGGGGAGCGAACAGG